ensembl:lncRNA
CUCUCAUUCAUAUAUCUUUAUGUACAUAUUCUUCAUCCCUUUACACUUGUGUGUGUAUAAGGUAGCUGUUGUGAAAUGAUUAGGUUAGAUUACUUGUUAGAUAUUACUGCAUGGUCAGAACUAGAAGCACAAGCAUUUUGUUACACUCGCAUUAACAUCUGCUAACCAUGUGUAUGUGACAAAUAAAAUUUGAUUUGAUUUAGAGUUGAUGUAGCUGGCAAGGUAAUAGCAGGUAGACUUUAGCCAGCCCAUGUGGCUCUGCUUUCUAGAUGCUGUGGUUUGGUCCCCUAUGACCCUGCCCAGUGUUUUUCAGAGGUUUUCCAGUUCAAGUUUAUUAUUACCCACAUUGCAUUCAACACAUACUACAAACCAUGGUCAUAUACUGUAAUAUGUAAAUAUCUAAUGACUUUUGAAUUAAUUAAUACAAAUAUUUUAAUUGAGGAAUAUUCUGUACCUGUAUAUUGGAAGUCAAUCCCUCUUGGAUGUACUGUAAGUGAAAGGAGGCUGGUCUAUGCUGGAUGUAUGUUUAGGUGUGUGUGUGUGAUCCCCAAGGUCGGGGGCAACUCUUGUGGCGUCAUCUAGGCACACGUUCACAUCACACACACACCCCCCGUCUCUCCGUUCCAGCGCUCCUCUCGUUCAUAAAAGGGUUAAUGAGAUCUGUCAUCACCCCACACACACGGUUUAUUAUCAAAGGGUUCCUUCCUGUGUUGGGUAAAAAUAAUCAUGCAAUUCCACAGACAUAAAUGUCCACUGGGGUCCUGGGCGGUCCUAAACGAAUGAUUGUUUUCACUGGGUUCCUUUGGGGUAGCAACCAGGCAGUAUAGGGGGGUUUGAGGAAGUGACUUAGCCUUUUAGGUCUUCAGACAGGAAUCAUAGCUACCAUCACCUUCAGUCCCCUCACUUUUUACCCCAACAUGCCACAUUGUGGUUUGUAUUGCUCCCAGAACCAUUCCCUUUUACUGUUUUCUGCUCUUCUCUUACUACAGCCUCCAUCCCAAGAAUAGCUGAACAUUGGACUCCAGAGGGUCGGCCCCAAGACAUGGUGGUGGAGAAAAAUGGAGGCAGAGCUCCAACAACAUCAGCAGAGCUGGGGCACGGUGGAGAAGAUGGCCAGAGACAGACAGAAGGGGAGAGCCUUUGUUGCUGCCCUAUGUUCCAGCCGGCAUGACGGGGGAUGUGGUGUGUUUUUGGUAUUCCAGAGACCCGAGCAACAAGGCCUGAUUGGACAAACCAAAGAGCAUUCAAGCACCAACACCUGAGGUCGGUAUAGCCUAGAAAACCUGAUGGAGCAGCAUUGUGACGCGUCCUCCUUCCUCACAGAAGGAUCCAUCUCUUCUCCACGUGGCCCAAGAAACAGACAAAAAAGUGUGUCACAGUCAGGCCCAGAUGCCUCACGCAGGUGAGCGAGGUGUCCGGGGGAAAUGUCGACCUCUCCUGCAGUCGUUUGGAGUGAGACUCAAGCAAGCGUCCAGAGUUGUCAAUAAAAGUUGGGCGCAUGGGAACAGAAGAGACCACCCUUUCUCCGCAACAAUAAAGAAGACUAAACAACUCUCCAAAUCACGAGGUAUUACUAAACACACGGGCACUGUCAGCACUGCCCAACGAAAGGAGCGAGUUUUGUGGUGUCUUCUUUGUUUUCACUCCCUUAAAAACCACUUUACCGCAUCUGUGUCGCUUUGUUAAAGUAGAACGUAAAUGAAGUAUAGGCCUGUAUUCACCUCCAUUUAAAAUAAUAAAACCAACAAACUGUAUCCUUGACUUUCAUGUGUGUUUGAUAUCCAAAAUAUAUUUGUAAUCUUUUUGAAAACGAAUGUUUGGGCAUUUUGGUGAAAUGAUAUCCCCAAACACAUUUGACUUGACCAUGCAUAAUACAAC